rnacentral:rRNA from 1 species
CCUACGGGGGGCAGCAGUGGGGAAUAUUGCACAAUGGGGGAAACCCUGAUGCAGCGACGCCGCGUGAGUGAAGAAGUAUUUCGGUACGUAAAGCUCUAUCAGCAGGGAAGAAAAUGACGGUACCUGACUAAGAAGCCCCGGCUAACUACGUGCCAGCAGCCGCGGUAAUACGUAGGGGGCAAGCGUUAUCCGGAUUUACUGGGUGUAAAGGGAGCGUAGACGGCAGCGCAAGUCUGGAGUGAAAUCCCAUGGCUUAACCAUGGAACUGCUUUGGAAACUGUGCAUCGAGAGUGCAGGAGAGGUAAGCGGAAUUCCUAGUGUAGCGGUGAAAUGCGUAGAUAUUAGGAGGAACACCAGUGGCGAAGGCGGCUUACUGGACUGUAACUGACGUUGAGGCUCGAAAGCGUGGGGAGCAAACAGGAUUAGAUACCCGAGUAGUC